CUGUUAAACCGAUGAAAAUUCAUUUUUACACAAUCUAAAAAUCUAAAGAACUCAAACAAACAAAGAAACUUGAACAUUAAAUAAAUAAAAAAACUUGAACAUUAAAUAAUAAAUACCCAAAAAUAUAUAUAUUGGACCUGGGUCGAGCCCACAGACACCCAUUCUCCUUUUUCUGUUCGGCUUGUGAUGUUGUGUUAGGGUUUAACUAUCAAAUCCAUUCCCCUUG